GUCUAUGGCCAUGUCACCCUAAACAAGCCUGAUGUUUGAUCUCGGAAGCUAAGCAAGUUCGGGCCUGGUUAGUACUUGGAUAGAAGACCACCUAGGAAGACCAGGUGCUGUAGGCA
rnacentral:rRNA from 1 species